rnacentral:rRNA from 1 species
CCUACGGGUGGCAGCAGUGGGGAAUAUUGGACAAUGGGGGCAACCCUGAUCCAGCCAUGCCGCGUGUGUGAAGAAGGCCCUCGGGUUGUAAAGCACUUUCAGUGAGGAAGAACGCCUGGUGGUUAAUACCCAUCAGGAAAGACAUCACUCACAGAAGAAGCACCGGCUAACUCCGUGCCAGCAGCCGCGGUAAUACGGAGGGUGCGAGCGUUAAUCGGAAUUACUGGGCGUAAAGCGCGCGUAGGUGGCUUGAUAAGCCGGUUGUGAAAGCCCCGGGCUCAACCUGGGAACGGCAUCCGGAACUGUCAAGCUAGAGUGCAGAAGAGGAAGGUAGAAUUCCCGGUGUAGCGGUGAAAUGCGUAGAGAUCGGGAGGAAUACCAGUGGCGAAGGCGGCCUUCUGGACUGACACUGACACUGAGGUGCGAAAGCGUGGGUAGCAAACAGGAUUAGAUACCCUAGUAGUC